CAGCCGCCGCGGUAAUACGAAGGGGGCUAGCGUUGUUCGGAAUCACUGGGCGUAAAGGGUGCGUAGGCGGAUUCUUAAGUCAGGGGUGAAAUCCCGAGGCUCAACCUCGGAACUGCCUUUGAUACUGGGGAUCUUGAGUCCGGAAGAGGUGAGUGGAACUGCGAGUGUAGGGGUGAAAUUCGUAGAUAUUCGCAAGAACACCGGUGGCGAAGGCGGCUCACUGGUCCGGAACUGACGCUGAGGCACGACAGCGUGGGGAGCAAACAGGAUUAGAGACCCGUGUAGUCCCUGUCUCUUAUAC
rnacentral:rRNA from 1 species